CAUGCAAGUCGAAGCGGACAGAUGGGAGCUUGCUCCCUGAUGUUAGCGGCGGACGGGUGAGUAACACGUGGGUAACCUGCCUGUAAGACUGGGAUAACUCCGGGAAACCGGGGCUAAUACCGGAUGCUUGAUUGAACCGCAUGGUUCAAUUAUAAAAGGUGGCUUUUAGCUACCACUUACAGAUGGACCCGCGGCGCAUUAGCUANUUGGUGAGGUAACGGCUCACCAAGGCAACGAUGCGUAGCCNACCUGAGAGGGUGAUCGGCCACACUGGGACUGAGACACGGCCCAAACUCCUACGGGAGGCAGCAGUAGGGAAUCUUCCGCAAUGGACGAAAGUCUGACGGAGCAACGCCGCGUGAGUGAUGAAGGUUUUC
rnacentral:rRNA from 1 species